AAAGGCUCAUUAUAUCAGUUAUGGUUCCUUAGAUCAUUACCAGUUACUUGGAUAACUGUGGUAAUUCUAGAGCUAAUACAUGCAAUAAAAACACGGACCUUAUGGAACGUGUGCUUUUAUUAGUUUAAAACCAAGCGAUACCUUCGGGCAUCGUUACAAUGGUUGAACUCUAAAUAACUUGCAGAUCGUAUGGUCUUGUACCGACGACAGAUCUUUCAAAUGUCUGACCUAUCAACUAUUGAUGGUAGUAUCUUUGACUACCAUGGUUGCAACGGGUAACGGAGAAUCAGGGUUCGAUUCCGGAGAGGGAGCCUGAGAAACGGCUACCACAUCUAAGGAAGGCAGCAGGCGCGUAAAUUACCCACUCCCAGCACGGGGAGGUAGUGACGAAAAAUAACAAUACAGGACUCAUAUCCGAGGCCUUGUAAUUGGAAUGAGUACACUUUAAAUUCUUUAACGAGGACCUAAUGGAGGGCAAGUCUGGUGCCAGCAGCCGCGGUAAUUCCAGCUCCAUUAGCGUAUAUUAAAGUUGUUGCGGUUAAAACGUUCGUAGUUGAACUUGUGCUCCAUACGGGUAGUACACCUAAAAUAUUGGUUUGUACGUUACCUUUUAGUUAUGUGAGCGUAUUAUCGGUGGAGUGAUGUUAUCGUUUGAUUAUUUCAUUCGUAUAACAAAUAUCUCCUAUAAUAACCUGCUUCAAUGCUCUUUACCGGGUGUUGUCGUGGGCCGAUACAAUUACUUUGAACAAAUUAGAGUGCUUAAAGCAGGCCAUAAAACGCCUGAAUAUUCUGUGCAUGGAAUAAUGGAAUAUGACCUCUGUUCUACUUUCAUUGGUUUUUAGAUCAAGAGGUAAUGAUUAAUAGAAGCAGUUGGGGGCAUUAGUAUUACGACGCGAGAGGUGAAAUUCUUGGACCGUCGUAAGACUAACUUAAGCGAAAGCAUUUGCCAAAGAUGUUUUCAUUAAUCAAGAACGAAAGUUAGAGGCUCGAAGGCGAUCAGAUACCGCCCUAGUUCUAACCAUAAACGAUGCCAGCUAGCAAUUGGGUGUAGCUACUAUUAUGGCUUUCUCAGUCGCUUCCCGGGAAACCAAAGCUUUUGGGCUCCGGGGGAAGUAUGGUUGCAAAGCUGAAACUUAAAGGAAUUGACGGAAGGGCACCACCAGGAGUGGAGCCUGCGGCUUAAUUUGACUCAACACGGGAAAACUUACCAGGUCCGAACAUAAAUGAGUAAGACAGAUUGAUAGCUCUUUCUCGAAUCUAUGGGUGGUGGUGCAUGGCCGUUCUUAGUUCGUGGAGUGAUUUGUCUGGUUAAUUCCGAUAACGAACGAGACUCAAAUAUAUUAAAUAGAUGCAUUCAGGAUUAUGAUGUUUGAAACUUAAUAUAACUUUCUUGUAUGAAAUAUAGCAAUAUAUGGAUUGCUUGAAAUGUCUAUAUUAGUGGAGUCGUACCUGUUUGUUUAUCCCAAUAAUACGGGAUACUAGCUUCUUAAAUGGACAAAUUGCGUCUAGCAAUAAUGAGAUUGAGCAAUAACAGGUCUGUGAUGCCCUUAGAUGUCCUGGGCUGCACGCGCGCUACAAUGAAAGUAUCAACGUGUAUUUCCUAGACCGAGAGGUCCGGGUAAACCGCUGAAUCACUUUCAUGCUUGGGAUUGUGAACUGAAACUGUUCACAUGAACCUGGAAUUCCCAGUAAGUGCGAGUCAUUAACUCGCAUUGAUUACGUCCCUGCCCUUUGUACACACCGCCCGUCGCUACUACCGAUUGAAUUAUUUAGUGAGGUCUCCGGACGUGAUCACUGUGACGCACUUGUUUGUGUUGCGGCUGUUUCACAGAAGUUGACCGAACUUGA
rnacentral:rRNA from 1 species